UGGGGAAUAUUGGACAAUGGGCGCAAGCCUGAUCCAGCCAUGCCGCGUGAGUGAUGAAGGCCCUAGGGUUGUAAAGCUCUUUCACCGGUGAAGAUAAUGACGGUAACCGGAGAAGAAGCCCCGGCUAACUUCGUGCCAGCAGCCGCGGUAAUACGAAGGGGGCUAGCGUUGUUCGGAUUUACUGGGCGUAAAGCGCACGUAGGCGGACUAUUAAGUCAGGGGUGAAAUCCCGGGGCUCAACCCCGGAACUGCCUUUGAUACUGGUAGUCUUAAGUUCGGGGAGGGUGAGUGGAUUUCCGAGUGUAGAGGUGAAAUUCGGAGAUAUUCGGAGGAACACCAGUGGCGAAGGCGGCUCACUGGCUCGAUACUGACGCUGGGGUGCGAAGGCGUGGGGAGCAAACAGG
rnacentral:rRNA from 1 species